rnacentral:lncRNA from 1 species
GUGCCGCCAAGGACCACAUAAUGCCACUAGCACUAAGAGAGCAUAAAAUAUACGUGCCUAAUUGUUCCCUCGAGUCCUCCGAGCAGCUUUGCAAAUUAUAUACAUAGCAAUUUAUGACCCAACCUUAAAUUUAUUUAAAUAAAUUUUUGCUUAAGAUAAAUAGAUCCAGCAUAAAUGAGCCAAUCUGUCUGGAACCAUUUACUAAGUAGACAGGGUUCAAAUUUAAAUUCUUGACAUGUUCAACGAAUUUUAAUACUUAUUUAAUCUAUUUCAAACUUAUUUAACCUAAUCUAUUUAAUUUAUUUAACUCAUUUUGAACCUAUUUAACCUGUUGAAAACUUAUUUUACCUAUUUAACCCAUUCAACCUGAUUUGGCUACUCUUUUUUUUUUUUCUUUUUUUGCUAGAAUCCUGAUUCGGCUACUUUAUCAAAUAGAUUAUACAUGUCAGGUGCAACAACCGAGGAAAUUCAAAGGAAUACUAAUCUUGAGGAUCAGGUCAUUUUAAAGGGUACGAAUUGAAGAUAUCCCCUGGACUGGACGCCAAUCAAUAUUUUCCAUUUUAGUUUCCUAGUUUACCGGACUCUGUACAAAACUUUACUGAUCAUGAUAUCUGUACAAGGCUUAUUGAUUUGGAAGCAUUCUGGAUGUUGGUGGUUGGAAUCAAAAUAACUGCUUCCCAGAACGAAGCCAUUCUUUAAGUGAUUCCUUGGAGGAUCAACAUUGAAAAGACAAUGCAUGAUCAUGGUGUCUUAAUUAGAAGUUCUAUGGCAGCACUUUCUGGAAAAACCUUCAAUAUGCCUGUUCAUACCUGAGUUUAUACCCUAAUCUUGUCCACUCUUUCCUUCUGCUUUAUACUGAGGUUAGAUCACGGGCAUAACGAGAUGUUUGAUAUGCUGAUAAUUUUGAUAGUAAUCAGCUAUAUCACUCAGAUCAGAUGAAUAAAAUACCAAGUACCGACCAAUAACCAUGUGCUAUAAAUAUUACCAAAAAAAUCUAUAUGCUAUAAAUGAGUCAUUCUCUUUUUUGCAGUAUUUCCCCUUUCAAUAAGUUAUUACUCAUCUUGGAUGCUUAAAAUCAGAGUUACUAGGUCCUCCAACUUGACU